rnacentral:rRNA from 1 species
CUUGGUCAUUUAGAGGAAGUAAAAGUCGUAACAAGGUUUCCGUAGGUGAACCUGCGGAAGGAUCAUUACUGAAGCAUAGAAGGGUUGUCGCUGCCUUGAAAGAGGAUGUGCACGCUCUUCAAUCUUCUCUUAACCGCCUGUGCACUUUCCCUUAGACCGUUGAUACCUAUGACUGAAAAUGUCGAUGGAGAGUCUGCAGCUAACACCUGCUUUCUUUCAAUUUCACGGUCUAUGUUUUACACACUAUUUUAAACCUUUGAAUGCUGUUAUAGAAGGGUCGUCAUGACCCAAUAUAAUUAAAUACAACUUUUGGCAACGGAUCUCUUGGCUCUCGCAUCGAUGAAGAACGCAGCGAAAUGCGAUAAGUAAUGUGAAUUGCGGAAUUCAGUGAAUCAUCGAAUCUUUGAACGCACCUUGCACCCUUUGGUAUUCCGAAGGGUAUGCCUGUUUGAGUGUCAUUAAAUUCUCAAACCUGCUGGUCUUUAUUGACUACGUAGGCUUUGGAUGUGGGAGUUGCUGGCCUAACAGUCGGCUCUCCUUAAAUGCAUUAGUGGCUUGUCGAUCCCCAUUCACUUGGUGUGAUAGUAAUAUCUACAUUGAGGAUGGCUAGGUCAUGCUAUGACAACUGCUUUCUAACCGUCCUUUGCUGGACAACUUGAACCAUUUGACCUCAAAUCAGGUAGGACUACCCGCUGAACUUAAGCAUAUCAAUAAGCGGAGGAAAAGAAACUAACAAGGAUUCCCCUAGUAACUGCGAGUGAAGAGGGAAAAGCUCAAAUUUAAAAUCUGGCAGUCUUUGAUUGUCCGAGUUGUAAUUUAGAGAAGUGCUACCCGCGCUGGACCGUGUAUAAGUCUUCUGGAAUGGAGCAUCAUUGAGGGUGAGAAUCCCGUCUUUGACACGGACUACCAGGGCUUUGUGGUGUGCUCUCGACGAGUCGAGUUGUUUGGGAAUGCAGCUCAAAAUGGGUGGUAAAUUCCAUCUAAAGCUAAAUAUUGGCGAGAGACCGAUAGCGAACAAGUACCGUGAGGGAAAGAUGAAAAGAACUUUGGAAAGAGAGUUAAACAGUACGUGAAAUUGCCAAAAGGGAAACGCUUGAAGUUAGUCGCGUUGACUGUGGAUCAGCCUUGCUUGCAUGGUGUACUUUGCAGUUGACGGGUCAACAUCAGUUUUGACCAUUGGAUAAGGGUUGGAGGAAUGUGGCUCCUUUAGGAGUGUUAUAGCCUCUGAUCACAUACAGUGAUUGGGACUGAGGAUCUCAGCACGCCGCAAGGCCGGGUUUCGACCACGUACGUGCUUAGGAUGUUGGCAUAAUAGCUUUAAGCGACCCGUCUUGAAACACGGACC